AGUAAAUAAAAACUGAGUUUCCUCUAAUGUUACAGUGAUUACAGGAAAUAUAUGUCCUCCCUUCCCCUACUGAGUCCUCAAUGUUUGACUAUAAAUGUGGGGUUCAGUCUUCUCCAUAUCCAUAAACACGAAUACAGAUCUUGGUUUAAUCUGUGUUAGGAACUAAAACACCUUCGUAGAUCCUCUUUUAAGAUUCAUCUAUCUCUUCUUUCUAAACUAGCUCCAGACAUUCUCCUUUAUUUUUUGUCUGCAUCUCUUGUAUUUCCAUAAAUAUAUGCUUGAGGUUAGGCCUUACCAAGGUGGGUGGU
rnacentral:misc_RNA from 1 species